GUCCCUCUCUGCCUUGUUGAGCUCCUCUUAAAGUGAAAAUAGAUGUCCUUAUACAGGGAAUUUGACCUAAAUUCACAGUAAAUUUCAUAGAAAUUUAUUAUGAAUUUAGGUUGAAUUUCCUCUAUAAGCACAUCUAUGUUCAUUUUUUUAUAGUAAAUAAAAUAAAUAAACCUUAAUAAAAUAAAAUAAAAUAAACUAUAGUAACUAAAAUAAAUAAACCUUAAUAAAUUAAAUAAAAAUAGCAGCAGUAAAAUAAAUAAAAAUAGCAGCAGUAAAAUAAAUAAAAAUAAAUUAAUUAAAG
rnacentral:lncRNA from 1 species